UACGGGGGGGGGGCAAGCGUUUGUUCGGAAUUACUGGGCGUAAAGGGCGCGUAGGCGGCUUGGCAAGUGGAAGGUGAAAUCCCUCGGCUUAACCGAGGAACUGCCCUCCAAACUGCUUUGCUUUGAGGCCGGGGAGAGGUGAGUGGAAUUCCCAGUGUAGCGGUGAAAUGCGUAGAUAUUGGGAGGAACACCAGUGGCGAAGGCGGCUCACUGGACCGGUUCUGACGCUGAGGCGCGAAAAGCUAGGGGAGCAAACGGGGAUUAGAAACCCC
rnacentral:rRNA from 1 species